UACGUAGGGUGCAAGCGUUAAUCGGAAUUACUGGGCGUAAAGCGUGCGCAGGCGGUUUUGUAAGUCUGACGUGAAAUCCCCGGGCUUAACCUGGGAAUUGCAUUCGAGACUGCAAGGCUAGGGUGCGGAAGAGGGAAGCGGAAUUUCCGGUGUAGCGGUGAAAUGCGUAGAGAUCGGAAAGAACACCAACGGCGAAAGCACUCUGCUGGGCCGACACUGACACUGAGAGACGAAAGCUAGGGGAGCGAAUGGG
rnacentral:rRNA from 1 species